rnacentral:rRNA from 1 species
UGUGUAGGCGGAAAGAUAAGCGUCUUGUGAAAUCCCUCGGCUUAACCGAGGAAUUGCUGGGCGAACUGUCUUUCUUGAGGCAAGUAGGGGUGCAUGGAACUCUUGGUGGAGCGGUGGAAUGCGUAGAUAUCAAGAGGAACGCCGAUGGAGAAAUCAGUGCACUGGGCUUGUCCUGACGCUGAGACACGAAAGCGUGGGUAGCGAACAGGAUUAGAUACCCUGGUAGUCC